AGCAGCCGCGGUAAUUCCAGCUCCAAUAGCGUAUAUUAAAGUUGUUGCAGUUAAAAAGCUCGUAGUUGAACCUUAGGCCCGUGCGGGUGGUCCGUCCUCUGGGCGAGCACUGCCUCGUCGCGGGUCUCACCUUCUGGCGAGCGUGGAUGCCAUUCACUUGGUGUCGGCGGGAACCAGGACCUUUACCUUGAAAAAAUUAGAGUGCUCAAAGCGGGCUCGUACGCUUGAAUACAUUAGCAUGGAAUAAUGAAAUAGGACGACGGUUCUAUUUUGUUGGUUUCCGGGACAGUCGUAAUGAUUAAUAGGGAUAGUUGGGGGCAUUCGUAUUCAAUUGUCAGAGGUGAAAUUCUUGGAUUUAUUGAAGACGAACUACUGCGAAAGCAUUUGCCAAGGAUGUUUUCAUUAAUCAAGAACGAAAGUUGGGGGAUCGAAGACGAUCAGAUACCGUCGUAGUCUCAACCAUAAACUAUGCCGACUG
rnacentral:sRNA from 1 species